AUUGAACGCUGGCGGCAGGCUUAACACAUGCGAGUGGAGCGACGAAUCGGACUUCGGUCCGAGGCAAAGCCGCGAACGGGUGAGUAACACGUGGGUAACCUGCCCCGAUGAUUGGGACAACCCCGGGAAACCGGGGCUAAUACCAAAUGUGCUCACGUCUCAUGAGGGACGUGAGGAAAGGAAGCUUCGGCCUCCGCAUCGGGAUGGGCCCGCGGCGCAUUAGCUUGUUGGUGAGGUAACGGCUCACCAAGGCUUCGAUGCGUAGCUGGUCUGAGAGGACGAUCAGCCACACUGGGACUGAGACACGGCCCAGACUCCGACGGGAGGCAGCAGUGGGGAAUCUUGCGCAAUGCGCGAAAGCGUGACGCAGCAACGCCGCGUGCGGGAAGACGGCCUUCGGGUUGUAAACCGCUUUCAGUUGGGACGAAGCUUCGCCGGUGAAUAGCCGGCCGGAGUGACGGUACCUUCAGAAGAAGCCCCGGCUAACUACGUGCCAGCCGCCGCCGUAAGAC
rnacentral:rRNA from 1 species